rfam:Mastigocoleus testarum BC008 Contig-89, whole genome shotgun sequence.
GUCAACGACCCCCGGCUAAAGCCGGAGGCUUCCAGCCUUGAGUUGACCAGACUCAGUAGUUAACAACUACUACGUUUAGGGGGAGUGUUAAAGUUCCUACCUUGCACGGGUACAUGAUACUAGCCUCAAGCUCUAGAACUAGAAAGUUAAACAGAUUUAGAUGGGUUAAGUCAGUGCUUUCUAGAUACGCCGCCCCUAAACAUUGUCGUUCGCGAAGCGCGUCUCAG